AAAAAAAGGAAGAAUAAUUAAAAGCCAAGCCGGAGCUACAGGAAGUGAGAAGCAAAGAUCCUCUGGCUGUGAGCUCCAUGCGGCAAACAUCUCUGGAUUUAUUCUCUUGACCUCCAACAUGGGCAUUCUUUGAAUGAAGCUGUCAAUCCAGCUUCUGACACUGCAGAGAAAUAUGAUCUGUAGGCCGUGAGGGGCCUGGGGGAAGGCACUGUGUUAUGUUGACCUUCGGAAUCCUCACUUGCUGGCAGAGGCCCCCUUAAUUAUUUUAUGGAUUGAUAAACAGCUCUGGUGAGCAGCUGGGUGGAAGAAGAAGUGGAAACAGCUGCAGAAGAGUUGGACACUUUCCAAGAUCCCUCCUGUGACCUUGUGAUCCUUGCUUGUCUGGGCUAAUGGUAAUAGCACACAGGUUUGCUUUGGCCCUUAUUUGCCAAAAUUCAGACUCCCAGCUUUCAGGGCUAGCAAUAUAUAUGUCACAGGCCACUGUCAUCCUAGACUGACAGCACACUGCUCCAGAACAGAAGAAAGAUAGCCCCUUGGCUCAGUCUGGAGAAUGUCCUUACCUAUUUGACUAAGCCUGCUUUCUGUAGAGAUGUAAAUAAAGGAGAGCAGAAUAAAACACAACUUACUUCCAAGGAUGAGCCAAUUUAUAAAGGCUGUAAAAUAAGAAAUCAAAACAUUUUUUCUAAAAAAUGUUCUGGUGCUGCUACAUAUCUUCAUGGCUAAUGGGCUGAUUUUUUUAUUCUGAAAACUACACAAGAGACGAGUGGGUGGAAGAAGCUCUCUUUUUGCAAGUAUCACAGGUCCUGGGGUCUUCCCAGAAGUUGCUUACCCAGGCCUCAGAUAAAACUAACUGCCUUUGAGAAUCUAAAUGUAUUUAGGCCUCAUACCCUGUUCUUUCUGUUUUUUUUUUUUUCUCCUGUUUCCUUGCAAAAUUAACAGUGGUGUGUAUAGUGUCUUCCUCUGCUUCUCGACUUACAGAAACAUCCUCUACCACCUUCAGCCUGCUGGGAUUUCUCUUAAUGAGGAGACCAUGACCUCUUAGACAUGUGUUGGUCACCAUGCUCUUUGUAAAGACUCCAGGGGCACCCUCGGCAAUCUAUGGUUGGUAUCUCUUGUUACCUCGAUACAUCGCAAGCAUUUCACAAUGUGGUCUGUCUCCUCCUUCAUUCCUGUCUCCUCUGCCCUUGAAGAUAGAAGUCUUCCAGCUACUUUCUUUCUCUUCUUCCCUGUUGUCCUAUGUUCUCCCUUUCCUGCGAUUGCACACACCCUGGAUUCAUCCAUCUUCAUAUUACACAUGUCUCUAAGCAAUUCCAGGAGCUCCUGUGGUUUCAGCCUCUCCUGUUGAUGUGGCAUUAUCUCCUCACCAGCCUUUCCAGGCUCCAAGCCUCCAUUCUCUACUCCACUCCACGGCAGUGCAUGGAUGCCCUGCACACUGCAUCUUCCAGACCUUGAGGCCAGUUGCUUCCCAUUAGCCCCUUUAAUGCAAGACAUUGGCAGUAGACAGGAAAAUAAGAUGAAGGGUGAAGACAGUCCCUUUCAUUUCCAGCUCUGGCCAGCAGCACCCCAACAGCAACAGAUGGUUGGCUCCAGGCUCCAACUCCUUUUGGCUUUCUCAGCAGCCUUGCAAUAACCCUUGAAGGAACUAACAGCACCCAGCACCCAUAAAGGCAUGGCUGGACCACAACCUGUUUUGCUGUGUACCCUGGUUCUCCAUGGCCCCUGUUUGGCCGUAUCUUCUCCUCAAAAGUCUGAACAUUGGCUGCAGGAUGUCUCCACCCCACUUGUCUGGGCCCCAGCCAUGGAGCACUCCUUCCUUAAAGUCUUAAGCAUCAUUCAUGAGCUGUUCUUGACUUAGAGGUCUGAGCACCAGCUUAGCUGUGUCCCAUACUCACACAUCCAGCCUCCAGCUGUAGGUAGCUAACACCAGGAUUUCGGACCCCUGCCGCUGAUAGCGCCUUUCCCAUGUCCUCCUCUGGGCCCGUAGUUAUUAAUCUCUGUGGACAUUUGACCAUCUGCUACCUGUGUAAGCAAUCCUUUGCAUUAAAUUUCGUGUUCUGAAUACCCA